CCUACGGGUGGCAGCAGUGGGGAAUAUUGCACAAUGGGGGAAACCCUGAUGCAGCGACGCCGCGUGAGUGAAGAAGUAUCUCGGUACGUAAAGCUCUAUCAGCAGGGAAGAUAAUUACGGUACCUGACCAAGAAGCUCCGGCUUACUACGUUCCAGCAGCCGCGGUGAUACGUAGGGGGCAAGGGUUAUCCGGAUGUACAGGGUGUUAAGGGAGCGUAGAGGGAAGCACAAGUCUGGAGUGAAGUCCAGGGGCUUAACCCCGGAACUGCCUUGGAGACUGUGCGGCUGGAGUGCAAGAGGGGUAAGCGGAAUUACUAGUGAAGCGGUGAAAUGCGUAGAUAUAAGGAG
rnacentral:rRNA from 1 species